rnacentral:rRNA from 1 species
UACGUAGGGGGCAAGCGUUAUCCGGAUUUACUGGGUGUAAAGGGAGCGUAGACGGUUUAGCAAGUCUGAAGUGAAAGCCCGGGGCUCAACCCCGGUACUGCUUUGGAAACUGUUAGACUUGAGUGCAGGAGAGGUAAGUGGAAUUCCUAGUGUAGCGGUGAAAUGCGUAGAUAUUAGGAGGAACACCAGUGGCGAAGGCGGCUUACUGGACUGUAACUGACGUUGAGGCUCGAAAGCGUGGGGAGCAAACAGG